GUUUGGUUUGCCAUCACUUUUUGUGACUUUUCUGACAUCUGCAAGUGUCGGAAGUGUGACCUGAAACAUUUAAGGACACUUCUGCCUGAACCAUGGGCAGAUGUUUAGACUCCAAGAUACAGAGGAGGAGGGUCUUGGAGGUUUCUUAGUAUAAGUUCCUCCCUGUGGUACUUGCAGUUCCUACAAGGGGCUGUCAGAGAAACAAGCCGGAGAAGAGCAAGACAUGGUCCUGGUGCAUGAAAGGAGCCUAAGAAAGAAGAGUGAAAGCUGCACGUGUGAAGGAAAUGAAUUUUCCUCAUUGUACACAUUCCGAGAAAAAUGAGGCUAAGACUAUUUCAAAGGAUGUUCUACCUAAUUCGAAUGGGCUUUAAGUGCCAUCUUCACAAUAGCGCCAGAGUCUGGUGUCAGCAAACUGAACAAAUAGAGCUACAGGGAGCGAAUGGGGCUGGGUGCCUCUCCAAAACAUAUGCAGAUGAACUUGAGAUUUCAGAGGACGGUUAAUCCUACACAGCAGUCAAGUGCCUUCCCAGGGGUAUGUCUCAGAUCUCAGGGCUCCCUUCCAAACACUGGCUGCCACGUCAAACCAAAGGGGACGAGCAAUCAGACUCACCUCAAACGCCAGUUAAGAAAGCCGGCCUUACUUAAGCAAUCAAGGGCAAGUGAUCAGCCAACUCUGCUUUCUUUCCUUUCUCUUGGAUCAUUUAUAGACCUUGUGGCCGUGGCCACCACAUUGAGAAGCCCUUGGUCUCUACUUGGACUCACUAUAGCAGGU
rnacentral:lncRNA from 1 species